rnacentral:rRNA from 1 species
AUUGAACGCUGGCGGCAUGCCUUACACAUGCAAGUCGAACGGCAGCACGGGGGCAACCCUGGUGGCGAGUGGCGAACGGGUGAGUAAUGCAUCGGAACGUGCCCAGUAGUGGGGGAUAACCAGUCGAAAGACUGGCUAAUACCGCAUACGACCUACGGGUGAAAGCGGGGGACCGCAAGGCCUCGCGCUAUUGGAGCGGCCGAUGUCUGAUUAGCUAGUUGGCGGGGUAAAGGCCCACCAAGGCGACGAUCAGUAGCUGGUCUGAGAGGACGACCAGCCACACUGGGACUGAGACACGGCCCAGACUCCUACGGGAGGCAGCAGUGGGGAAUUUUGGACAAUGGGCGCAAGCCUGAUCCAGCCAUGCCGCGUGCGGGAAGAAGGCCUUCGGGUUGUAAACCGCUUUUGGCAGGAACGAAACGGCGCAAGCCAAUACCUUGCGCUAACGACGGUACCUGCAGAAUAAGCACCGGCUAACUACGUGCCAGCCGCCGCCGUAACAC